rnacentral:lncRNA from 1 species
UUCAUUGCACCUCGAACAUUGGUGGUCUGGAUAUUUAUGUCCAAUUAUUUUACAGUAUCUUGUUAGCAGUCCGUCUGAAAUAAAUCCUUUUUUUUAUUGCUCUUGCGGUAGAUUGUUUUUCUGGGUUGAGUAGCGUCAUUAUCCAUUGUCUUACAUCUUCCAUAUCUGCUUGUCGUAGCUCUUUUGAAUUUGAGUAAAUCAUUUGAUGAUCUCUCGAAUAAUAGCUCCAUAUUGGGUUUCCGUUAGUAUAAUUAUUUGCUAAUUCUUGAAUGAUCGUAGCUAGUCCAAUAAGUCGUUUAUUUGCAUAAAAAUCUGGUAUCUCAAUUCU